GUGGGGGUUUUUUUUUUGUGCAUACAUGCACGUCGGUGUGUCUAGAUUUGCGUACAUAUCCGUCUGCCAAAUCAUCUUUGAUAUGUCCUCUAACAAAAAUAAAAAGUUGUGUUUGUGUCUACAAUCUUCAUAUUUUAUAUGUCAAACCAACGACUACAUUAAUCUAAGUAACAAAGCGUUUUAAGUAAAAGUUCAGAAAAGAAACAACGUGUGUUCCGCAGGAUAGUUUCAAAAGGAAUUGGAUUGGAGUAACUGUGAUGGAGAGAAGAGUUCUCAUAUGAAAAGGGAGACAGAGAGACCGUGACACCUGCUAAAAUGAGAAACACAGAAAAUACAAAAAUGAGUUUUAAAUGAGAAUAGGGAAUCCGAGGAAGCGCGUGAUCUAAGCUAUGUAAAUACUAGUUCUAGGACGGAUCGGGUAUCCGGACAAUUUUAAGGUAUCCGG
rnacentral:lncRNA from 1 species